ACUGUUUCAAUCUCCUUGGAGGGGUGGCAGGGAACUUCCCCAAAAGUGACUGACAGACGGGCUGCUUGGAGCUCUGAGGGCCUCAAGGAGAGCGGAGGAGGGGCUGCCUUCAGCUGGGAAGGUGAGAGAAGAGCCUGAAGCAGAGGGGGGUCUCCACUACAGACUUUCCAGCUGCUGCUUGGGAACAACUGAUAAGCCAGGAAGGCAGCUGGAGCAUAGGCUGAGAAGCAAAGAGCAGGCUGUGCAAAGAGAUGGGAUCUCCCUGUGUUGCCCAGGGUGGUCUCAAACUCCUGGGCUCAGGUGAUCCUCCCACCUUGGCCUCCCAAAGUGCUGGAAAUUACACAGCCGAGACCUCCAACCUUCCUCUCGGUUUCUCACAUCUUAGCCCCGUGACUGUCUGAGUCCUCCGCCUCAAAAGAACACACAGAAGAAACAAGGUAAGAUGUGUCUUUCUUCCUAAUGCUGAGGAAGAACCAAGUGUAUAAUUCCUGAUAAUUGCAUUGUACUCUUUUUCCCGAGGGAUCUUUGAGAAGCGGGGAGGGGGCACUCUCUGCUACCAUGUAUUUGUGCAC
rnacentral:lncRNA from 1 species